GGUAAGGUGGCUCAGUGGUAGAGUACUUGCCUUGCAUGCAUGAGGCCCUGGGUUCGAUUCCUCAGCACCA
rnacentral:tRNA from 1 species